rnacentral:misc_RNA from 1 species
UGUGGGAGCGGGCUUGCUCGCGAUGGCGGUGUGUCAGUCACCCAAUGAUUGGCUGAUCCACCGCUAUCGCGAGCAAGCCCGCUCCCACA